UUGCACGCUGGCGGCAUGCUUUACACAUGCAAGUCGCACGGCAGCGCGGGCUUCGGCCUGGCGGCGAGUGGCGAACGGGUGAGUAAUACAUCGGAACGUGCCCAGUAGUGGGGGAUAGCUCGGCGAAAGCCGGAUUAAUACCGCAUACGACCUGAGGGUGAAAGCGGGGGAUCUUCGGACCUCGCGCUAUUGGAGCGGCCGAUGGCAGAUUAGCUAGUUGGUGGGGUAAAGGCCUACCAAGGCGACGAUCCGUAACUGGUCUGAGAGGAUGAUCAGUCACACUGGAACUGAGACACGGUCCAGACUCCUACGGGAGGCAGCAGUGGGGAAUAUUGGACAAUGGGCGAAAGCCUGAUCCAGCCAUGCCGCGUGUGUGAAGAAGGUCUUCGGAUUGUAAAGCACUUUAAGUUGGGAGGAAGGGCAGUAAGUUAAUACCUUGCUGUUUUGACGUUACCAACAGAAUAAGCACCGGCUAACUUCGUG
rnacentral:rRNA from 1 species